AUCCUUCACCUGUUGCCUGGCUAGAGUUGUCUGGCUCCACUUUGAGCUCUUGCAGAACCAGCCCUUUUUCGUGUGGUCCAGGAAAGUCCAUGCCUGGCACCACCUCCUCCUCUAGUGACUCCACGUAGAAGAGAGUCCUGGCUGGCUGCUGAGUGCCCUGCCCAGGAGCCCCUUGCUGCAGCCUCGUGGCAACUGGAAGCAGGGUGCCAUUCAGCGGAUUGAAGGAAGAGGAGGAAGAGGACGGGGAGGACGAUGAAGAGGAAGAGGAGGAAGGCUUCUUCCAGAAAGUGCUCACACCGCUUCUCUCUUGGCUUUUGAGCAGGCGACUCUGGCUGGGUCCCCAGUGCUCAAAGCUGCCACUGCCGUCCUGUUGCAGGCAGCCUCCCCCCGCCGGGCCGCCGGUGGAAGGAGACGGGUGGCUGAAGAGUUUCCAGCGGAGUCGCAGAAUGUGCUUCACAUCGAAGUCUUUUCGCCCAGAGCCUGACAUGCUUUACGCACAGAAGGCAAAAGGCUGGCAGCUCACGCAGGAUUCUGGAGGCUGGGAAGUUCAAGACCAAUGCACGAGAAUUUGGUCUAAAGAGAAUCUUCUUGCUCUGAACACACAUAGUAGAAGGCAGAAGGGCAAGAGAGAGAACAAAGUCUGUGUCUCCACAUGGCAGAAGAGCAGAGGAGACAGAACCUACUCCUCUAUGGCAACCACCCCAUCAAUGACAAAAAUCCUAGAAGGAUGUAUGUAUAGGAAGUUGAAGUGUUGAGAAGAGAAUGGCUCAGAGUCAAGCGGGAACAAGAUUCAAACUUCAGAGAGAGAGGGAAGAAAAACAUUUAAAUAUAUCUGGCAUAAUCCAAGACUAUUUACGACAAGUGUUCUGUGUUUCUAAUAAUAAAACAGACUUCACCUCGGAGUACCUGCAGAACUGGGACCCCAAUGACCAGGGAGAAUGAAGAACAACUUGUUGAAGAUUGCCUUUUCUGACUCCCAGCUUCCACGGAGAGAUUAACUCUGUUGGCUGAAGCCCUAUUCCCAAUUCCUUGGCUAGACCCUGGGUCCUUCAUGUUAGAAAACCUGGCUUUACUACUACUACUACUACUACUACUACUACUACUGCUGCUGCUGCUGCUGCUGCUGCUGCUGCUGCUGCUGCUGCUGC
rnacentral:lncRNA from 10 species